rnacentral:ncRNA from 10 species
UAAUAUCAUCAGGAGCGGUUUCGUAUUUGAAACCCACCAACCGAGCCCAGAUAAAUCAUGGUCACGGUGGUUAGAGCCUUAAACGCUAGAUGCGCCCAGGAAAAUGGGAAACAUGAUUAGCCGC